rnacentral:rRNA from 1 species
UACAGAGGUGGCAAGCGUUGUUCGGAAUCACUGGGCGUAAAGGGCGCGUAGGCGGCCGAUCAAGUCGGGGGUGAAAGCCUGUGGCUCAACCACAGAAUUGCCUUCGAUACUGUUUGGCUUGAGACCGGAAGAGGUUAGUGGAACUGCGAGUGUAGAGGUGAAAUUCGUAGAUAUUCGCAAGAACACCAGUGGCGAAGGCGGCUGACUGGUCCGGUUCUGACGCUGAGGCGCGAAAGCGUGGGGAGCAAACAGG